AAAAAACAGAGUCAUUUACUUAUAAAUAGUAAGAUACAAACUACAAAGUGCCACAUGCUAUAUAAUCUUUGUUGAAUAACAUACCUCAAUCUAUUUGUGUAUAGUUCCUAAAAUGUAGUAAGAACAAAGAUUGUGAGAAAAGAUAGUACAUUCAUUCAUGUCUUCAUAGAAACUUUCUAUAUAAUCACUCCAUAAGCAAUAUGUCACGUUUCUCUUCCAAAAGAAGUCAAAAAAAAUGUUGGGUAAAAUUUCAAAUGUAGUUCUUGUUCUUGUAUAUUACUCUAUUCUAACAUCAUCAUAUUCUAAUGGUUAUCCUCUUUCAACACAAAAUAGAUGGAUCAUUGAUGAAUCCACAAAGCAACGGUCCAAACUAGUUUGUGGAAAUUGGGCAGGGCACCUUGAACCAAUGUUACCAGAAGGACUUAACAAGAAGCCAUUAAAGGAUCUUGUUUCCCAAUUGGUUAAUCAAAGAUUCAAUUGUGUCCGCCUCACCUAUGCAAUUUACAUGUGGACACGUUAUGAGAAUAAUGUUGUUGAAGACACAUUGAGAGAGUUAAGAAUACAUAAAGAGGUUGUCAAAGGGAUUUCAAAAUCAAAUCCUUCUUUGUUGAAGAUGACUCACAUACAAGUCUUUGAUACAUUGGUUAAGGAACUUGGAGAUCAAAAUGUGAUGGUGUUGCUUGAUAAUCAUGUUAGCAAGGCAAAAUGGUGUUGCAAUGAUGAUGAUGGAAAUGGGUUCUUUUAUGAUAAAUAUUUUGAUCCUUUCGAAUGGAUGCAAGGCCUUAGUUUAGUAGGCAAACACUAUGCUGGAAAUUCUGUUGGUAUGAGACACUUUGCUGACUUCGACCUACUUUAGUUGACAAGUUGAGAUUCGAAAAAAUUCAUCAGGUGGUGGCAAUGAGCUUGAGGAAUGAAUUGCAUGGUCCAAGGCAAAAUAAGGGAGAUUGGUACCAUUACAUGAGUGAAGGAGCAAAAACAAUUCACAAGGCAAAUCCACAGGUACUGGUGGUUGUGUCAGGUUUGAAUUAUGAUACAGAGUUUCAUUUUCUAAAGAGAAAACAUCUUAAGUUAAACAUAGGGAAAAAAUUGGUGUAUGAGACACAUUUGUAUUCUUGGUCUGGGGUUGGAAUUCUCAACUUGAAAGAAACUUGGACUAUGCAACCAUUAAACAAGAUUUGUGCUAAUAGUCUUGAAGCAUUGGAUAAUCAAGUAGGGUUUCUAAGAAGUGGUAGUGAUGCAGCUCCUUUAAUCUUUAGUGAGUUUGGAUUUGAUGAAAGUGGUUCCAAUGAAGAAGACAAUAAUUUCUUGACUUGCCUUCAAACCUACCUAGUUGGGAAUGACUUGGAUUGGGGCUUGUGGGCAUUUCAAGGUAGCUAUUACCUAAGAGAUGAUAAAGCUCAAGUUGAUGAGAAUUUUGGGUUAAUGGAUUCCUCUUGGACUCAUCUUAGAUACCCAAAUUUCAAUGAGAAGUUCCAACUUUUGAUAAGGAAGAUUCAAGAUCCUACUUCUAAGGUCUCCAAUAAUGAAUCUAUCUUGUAUUACCCUUUAAGUGGUCAAUGUGUAAAAGUGAAUGGAAGGAAUGAACUUGAAGUGAGUAGCUGUGAAACAAAAGAUAGAUGGAUUCAUAAUGGAGAUGGGGGUAAUAUCAAUUUAGUAAAAACUAACAAGUGCCUAACUUCAAAUGGUGAAGGAUUUCCAGUCACACUCUCAAAUGAUUGUAAAAGCAAGAAUAGUUCUUGGAUAUUUGUAUCCCCUUCCAAGCUUCAUUUGGCCACAACAAAUAUUCAAAGUGAUGGGGAAUACUUGUGUUUGCAAAAGGAUUCAAACUCACCCACAAUUUUGACCUCAAAAUGUAUAUGCAUAGAAGAUGAUGAUGAUUCUACUUGUUUAAACAAUCCACAAAGUCAAUGGUUCCAGCUUGUUCCCACCAAUAAUAAUGUUCAACCUUCCACACAAGCCAUGUUCUACUCCCAACCCAAAAUGAGGGACAGGAAUAUAAAGACAUCUUCAUAUGCUUCAAAACUAUGCAAGAGUCAAAGCCUUGUCCGAAAGUUUGGUCAAACUGUAGGUUUAAUAGUCUUUUUCUUCACUCUUCUUUUCUAAAGAGAAGUGUUUUUUGAGCGCUAAAUCUUUUUCUUAAUCAGCACCAAGGUAGUGUGUGGAUUGUAAUUUUUCUUAUAAAG